UACGGAGGGUGCAAGCGUUGUUCGGAAUUAUUGGGCGUAAAGGGCGUGUAGGUGGCUUUCCAAGUCCGGUGUGAAAUCCCACGGCUCAACCGUGGAACUGCAUUGGAAACUGGAUGGCUCGAGGGUUGGAGGGGGUCGCGGAAUUCCCAGUGUAGCGGUGAAAUGCGUAGAUAUUGGGAGGAACACCAGUGGCGAAGGCGGCUCACUGGACCGGAACUGACGCUGAUGCGCGAAAGCGUGGGGAGCAAACAGG
rnacentral:rRNA from 1 species